GUCCUUUUGAUUUUUAUUUAAGGUCUGACCUGCCCACUGAUUUAUUUAAUGGCCGCGGUAUCCUGACCGUGCAAAGGUAGCAUAAUAAUUUGUCUUUUAAUUGAAGGCUUGUAUGAAUGGUUGGACGAGAAAACUUCUUUCUUUAUAAUAAAUUUAUGAAUUUUAUUUUUUAGUCAAAAAGCUAAAAUGUAAUUGUAGGACGAGAAGACCCUAUAGAACUUUAUAAUUUUUAUUAAAUUAAUGUUUUUAGUUAAUGAAUAUAUUGUUUAAUAAUAAUUAUUUUGUUGGGGCGACAAGAAAAUUUAUUUAACUUUUUUUAUUAAAUUUCAUUAAUUAAUGUAUAAAUGAUCCUUUAUUAAGGAUAAUUAGAAUAAGUUACCUUAGGGAUAACAGCGUAAUUUUUUUGGAGAGUUCUUAUCGAUAAAGAAGUUUGCGA
rnacentral:rRNA from 1 species